GGACUUCAAAGCAUAAUUAUUACCCAGGCUGAAGAAGAAUAUUUGCAAGCAUUGAAUGGACUACAUAAUCCGAAAGUACCAGAUAAUAUAGUUUUGGUGUCUGGACAGGUGGAUCAUUGAUACAUGUGCCCAGGUAACCAUAUAAGUGAAAUUUGUGCAGAAUAGCUACAGACCAUGAAGUUCAGAUGUGAAGAGAUGCAGGUCUUUGUUCUACAUGGUGUAUGAGUGAAACAUGUGUAUGGCAGUCAUAGAAAACAUUUAAAAAAGAAAUCUGUGAGAUAGAUCUUGCUGCAGCAUGCCAUUGACAAACCAAGAAGCUCAGAUUGUUGUGUGCACACUAGUUUGACUUGUUUAUUGCUUUGAAUUGAUUGUCAUAGAAAAAAG